rnacentral:ncRNA from 1 species
UUUCCCUCAGGAUAGCUGGCGCUCUUGCUCUUCCCGAUACACGCAGUUUUAUCCGGUAAAGCGAAUGAUUAGAGAGGUCUUGGGGCCGAAAUGAUCUCAACCUAUUCUCAAACUUUAAAUGGGUAAGAAGCCCGGCUCGCUGACCCAUCUCUCCAGCCCAUGUUUUCUCUUCUUUAGAUAUGAAUUUCAUUGUGGGUUUUGUCCUUAAUCGUAUUUUUAUAAUUGUGUGAUUAAGUCUAAUGUUAACAGUUCAGUAGAAACAUAAAACUUAGAGCUCUA